rnacentral:rRNA from 1 species
UACGUAGGGUGCGAGCGUUAAUCGGAAUUACUGGGCGUAAAGCGUGCGCAGGCGGUUCGCUGUGUCCGAUGUGAAAGCCCCGGGCUCAACCUGGGAAUGGCAUUGGAAACUGGCGGGCUUGAGUGCGGCAGAGGGGGGUGGAAUUCCAGGUGUAGCAGUGAAAUGCGUAGAGAUCUGGAGGAACACCGAUGGCGAAGGCAGCCCCCUGGGCUAGCACUGACGCUGAUACACGAAAGCGUGGGGAGCAAACAGG